AUUCCAAAGAGUACAUGCGGCAAUCCAAAAUGCAGAAGUGAGAGUAGCGACUGACCUAUCGUGUUUCCGACUUCAUAUGCGCCUUCUUCAAUUUUCGAUUCCAUGACCAUGGAAAAUCCAAACGACACCAUCUCUCCCAAACCCAAAGCCCUAACGCAAAAAAAGUCAUCUUUUCGACACAUCAACAACAUUUUCAGUUUUAUAAAAUGUUCGUAAACUCCUAUGGCCACCGUAAGAUGUCGUCAACAAAUGUAUUCCUUCUCUUUUCCUUUCAUUUUAGCUUCCAAUUUUUAUAAUAUUUCCAAUUUACAUGUUCUCUUUUUUUUCCUAGGACGUUAAUUCUUAUGCAACUCAUUGCUUUGAGUAAUCAUCAUCGUUAACAAGAGCAAUAGCACAAGGAACUUGGAGAUGUGAAGUUCUUUUUCUAGACAAAAAGAGCAUACCAUAGUUUUCCAUUUUUUUUAACUUUACUUGUUAUUUGAUUGGGAAAAGUUUCAAAUUUUUGCAGGUAUACAAUUUCAAUUUCUUGCAAAAUGUCUCUAGCAACAAGGUUUAUCAGUAACUUGCUUAGAGUGUUGGAUGCCUGGAUUGCAACUAGAUUGAAGAAGUGUUAUUUACAAAUGUUUAAACAUGCAAAAGCACGAAAUCAAUACAAAAAAAAAAAAAAA